AGCAGCCGCGGUAAUUCCAGCUCCAAUAGCGUAUAUUUAAGUUGUUGCAGUUAAAAAGCUCGUAGUUGGACCUUGGGACGUCACGGUCGGUCCGCCCUCUGGGUGAGCACUGUUCCGACGCCGGGCCUAUCCUUCUGGUGAGUCGGCAUGUCCUUUGUUGGGUGUGUCGGGGAACCAGGACCAUUACCUUGAAAAAAUUAGAGUGUUCAAAGCAGGCGUAUGCUCGGAUACAUUAGCAUGGAAUAAUGAAAUAGGACGCGUGGUGCUAUUUUGUUGGUUUCUAGAACCGCCGUAAUGAUUAAUAGGGAUAGUUGGGGGCAUUAGUAUUCAAUUGUCAGAGGUGAAAUUCUUGGAUUUAUUGAAGACUAACUUCUGCGAAAGCAUUUGCCAAGGAUGUUUUCAUUAAUCAAGAACGAAAGUUAGGGGAUCGAAGACGAUCAGAUACCGUCGUAGUCUUAACCAUAAACUAUGCCGACUAGGAAUCGGGCGAUGUUAUUCUCAUGACUCGCCCGGCGCCUUAUG
rnacentral:rRNA from 1 species